rnacentral:rRNA from 1 species
UGAACCACUUCGGUGGGGAUUAGUGGCGAACGGGUGAGUAACACGUGGGCAAUCUGCCCUUCACUCUGGGACAAGCCCUGGAAACGGGGUCUAAUACCGGAUACUGACCCUCGCAGGCAUCUGCGAGGUUCGAAAGCUCCGGCGGUGAAGGAUGAGCCCGCGGCCUAUCAGCUUGUUGGUGAGGUAAUGGCUCACCAAGGCGACGACGGGUAGCCGGCCUGAGAGGGCGACCGGCCACACUGGGACUGAGACACGGCCCAGACUCCUACGGGAGGCAGCAGUGGGGAAUAUUGCACAAUGGGCGAAAGCCUGAUGCAGCGACGCCGCGUGAGGGAUGACGGCCUUCGGGUUGUAAACCUCUUUCAGCAGGGAAGAAGCGAAAGUGACGGUACCUGCAGAAGAAGCGCCGGCUAACUACGUGCCAGCAGCCGCGGUAAUACGUAGGGCGCAAGCGUUGUCCGGAAUUAUUGGGCGUAAAGAGCUCGUAGGCGGCUUGUCACGUCGGUUGUGAAAGCCCGGGGCUUAACCCCGGGUCUGCAGUCGAUACGGGCAGGCUAGAGUUCGGUAGGGGAGAUCGGAAUUCCUGGUGUAGCGGUGAAAUGCGCAGAUAUCAGGAGGAACACCGGUGGCGAAGGCGGAUCUCUGGGCCGAUACUGACGCUGAGGAGCGAAAGCGUGGGGAGCGAACAGGAUUAGAUACCCUGGUAGUCCACGCCGUAAACGGUGGGCACUAGGUGU